rnacentral:rRNA from 5 species
UGUGACCUCAAAUCAGGUAGGACUACCCGCUGAACUUA